rnacentral:rRNA from 1 species
UACGAAGGGGGCUAGCGUUGCUCGGAAUCACUGGGCGUAAAGCGCACGUAGGCGGAUUGUUAAGUCAGGGGUGAAAUCCUGGAGCUCAACUCCAGAACUGCCUUUGAUACUGGCGAUCUUGAGUCCGUGAGAGGUGAGUGGAACUGCGAGUGUAGAGGUGAAAUUCGUAGAUAUUCGCAAGAACACCAGUGGCGAAGGCGGCUCACUGGCCCGGUACUGACGCUGAGGUGCGAAAGCGUGGGGAGCAAACAGG